rnacentral:rRNA from 1 species
UGUAAGCGUAUACCAAAGUUGUUGCAGUUAAAACGCUCGUAGUCGGAAUUUGGCAGUUCCGGAAGUGUGCACGUCGUGUGCGCACUUUGCGGGGACUGCUUUUGUGGUCUUGCGUAGGAUGAGGCACUUUCAUUAGUGAACGUCCUCACGCAACCACUCUUUACUGUGAGAAAAUCAGAGUGCUCAAAGCAGGCAUUUGCCGUGAAUGUAUUAGCAUGGAAUAAUAGAAUAGGACUCGGUUCUAUUUUGUUGGUUUGUUGGGACUGAGUAAUGAUUAAGAGGGACAGUUGGGGGCAUUUGUAUUCCGGCGCUAGAGGUGAAAUUCUUAGGUUGCCGGAAGACAAACUGCUGCGAAAGCGUCUGCCAAGGAUGUUUUCAUUGA